rnacentral:rRNA from 1 species
GACGAACGCUGGCGGCGCGCCUCAUACAUGCAAGUCGAGCGUGAAGCGGGACUUCGGUCCCGUGGAAAGCGGCGAACGGGUGCGUAACACGUGAGCAACCUGCCCCGAAGACUGGGAGUAACCCGGGGAAACCCGGGCUAAUACCGGAUGUCCUCCUCCGAUCGCAUGGUUGGGAAGAAGGAAAUGUUCAGGCGCUUCGGGAGUGGGCUCGCGGUCUAUCAGCUUGUUGGUGGGGUAACGG